AUUGAACGCUGGCGGCAGGCCUAACACAUGCAAGUCGAGCGCGCGGCGGACGGGUGAGUAUUGUGUGGGAGACUGCCUGAUGGAGGGGGGUAACUACUGGAAACGCUAUCUAAAACCACAUACCAUCAGAUGUGCCCAGAUGGGAUGAGCUCGUUGGUGGGGUAACGGCUCACCUAGGCGACGAUCCCUAGCUGGUCUGAGAGGAUGACCAGCCACACUGGAACUGAGACACGGUCCAGACUCCUACGGGAGGCAGCAGUGGGGAAUAUUGCACAAUGGGCGCAAGCCUGAUGCAGCCAUGCCGCGUGUGUGAAGAAGGCCUUCGGGUUGUAAAGCACUUUCAGCGGGGAGGCGUUACCCGCAGAAGAAGCACCGGCUAACUCCGUGCCAGCAGCCGCGGUAAUUC
rnacentral:rRNA from 1 species